rnacentral:rRNA from 1 species
GAUGAACGCUGGCGGCGUGCCUAAUACAUGCAAGUCGAGCGAACGGACGAGAAGCUUGCUUCUCUGAUGUUAGCGGCGGACGGGUGAGUAACACGUGGAUAACCUACCUAUAAGACUGGGAUAACUUCGGGAAACCGGAGCUAAUACCGGAUAAUAUUUUGAACCGCAUGGUUCAAAAGUGAAAGACGGUCUUGCUGUCACUUAUCGAUGGAUCCGCGCUGCAUUAGCUAGUUGGUAAGGUAACGGCUUACCAAGGCAACGAUGCAUAGCCGACCUGAGAGGGUGAUCGGCCACACUGGAACGGAGACACGGUCCAGACUCCUACGGGAGGCAGCAGUAGGGAAUCUGCCGCAAUGGGCGAAAGCCUGACGGAGCAACGCCGCGUGAGUGAUGAAGGUCUUCGGAUCGUAAAACUCUGUUAUUAGGGAAGAACAUAUGUGUAAGUAACUGUGCACAUCUUGACGGUACCUAAUCAGAAAGCCACGGCUAACUACGUG